GAUGAACGCUGGCGGCGUGCCUAAUACAUGCAAGUCGAGCGAACGGACGAGAAGCUUGCUUCUCUGAUGUUAGCGGCGGACGGGUGAGUAACACGUGGAUAACCUACCUAUAAGACUGGGAUAACUUCGGGAAACCGGAGCUAAUACCGGAUAAUAUUUUGAACCGCAUGGUUCAAAAGUGAAAGACGGUCUUGCUGUCACUUAUAGAUGGAUCCGCGCUGCAUUAGCUAGUUGGUAAGGUAACGGCUUACCAAGGCAACGAUGCAUAGCCGACCUGAGAGGGUGGUGGGGAAAAAUGGAGAGGAGCAACGGACCAGAACAAAAACGGGGGGCGCAGACGGGAAGUUGCAGGAAAGGGGGAAAGCAUGAAAGAGGAAUGCUGCGGGAGAGAAGAAGGUUUUAGGGUAGUAAAAACCUGUUUGUAGGGAAAAAAAAAUGUGGAAGUGACUAGGAACGGUCUGACGGUAACUAAAAAGAAAGGCACGGCCAACUACGUG
rnacentral:rRNA from 1 species